GUGCUCACUUGGGCAGCACAUAUACUAAAAUUGGAACAAUACAGAGAAGAUUAGCAUGGCCCUUGCACAAAGAUGACACAUAAAUUCAUGAAACGUUUCAUAUUUUU